UACGUAGGGUGCUAGCGUUGUUCGGAAUCAUUGGGCGUAAAGCGCGUGUAGGCUGUUAACCAAGUCAGGUGUGAAAGCCCUCGGCUCAACCGGGGAAGUGCAUUUGAAACUGGUUAACUAGAGAAUGGUAGAGGAAGGUGGAAUUCCUGGUGUAGAGGUGAAAUUCGUAGAGAUCAGGAGGAAUACCUGCGGCGAAGGCGGCCUUCUGGGCCAUUUCUGACGCUGAGACGCUAAAGCGUGGGUAGCAAACAGG
rnacentral:rRNA from 1 species